GACGAACGCUGGCGGCGUGCUUAACACAUGCAAGUCGAGCGGAAAGGCCCGUCGGGGUACUCGAGCGGCGAACGGGUGAGUAACACGUGAGUAACCGGCCCUAGACCUUGGGAUAACCCGCGGAAACGGGGGCUAAUACCGGAUACCCCUUCUAAAUCGCAUGAUUCGGUGGGGAAAGUUGUUCGGUCUGGUUUCGUCUCGCGGGCAAUCAGCUUGUUGGUGGGGUAAUGGUCUACCAAGGCGAGGACGGAUAGCCGGCCUGAGAGGGCGACCGGCCACACUGGGACUGCGACACGCCCCAGAAUCCUACGGGAGGCAGCGGUGGGGAAUAUUGCGCAGUAGGCGGACGCCUGAUGCAGCGACGCCGCGUGCGGGAUGACGGCCUUCGGGUUGUAAACCUCUUUCAGCGGGGCCGAACCGUACGUGACGGUACCUGCAGAAGAAGCGCCGGCCAACUACGUG
rnacentral:rRNA from 1 species